UGAUAGCCGAAAUGUCCUUUGUGUCCGA
rnacentral:sRNA from 1 species